UACAGAGACUGCAAGCGUUGUCCGGAUUUACUGGGCGUAAAGAGCGCGCAGGCGGUCGUUCAAGUCGAGUGUGAAAGCCCCCGGCUCAACUGGGGAGGGUCAUUCGAUGACUGAUCGACUCGAAGGCAGGAGAGGGUAGUGGAAUUCCCGGUGUAGUGGUGAAAUUCGUAGAUAUUCGCAAGAACACCAGUGGCGAAGGCGGCUCACUGGCCCGGUACUGACGCUGAGGUGCGAAAGCGUGGGGAGCAAACAGGG
rnacentral:rRNA from 1 species